rnacentral:lncRNA from 1 species
AAUCUUCUGCACACCAUGAACCCAAAAAGCAAAUGCCAGUACUGCUUCCUCAACAUAAACUGUGAAAGGAAUUUUGUAGGUUGGACUUAGGUAGAGAGAUUAUUUUAUUUCCAAUGGCAAACCAGAUCUUCAGGGAUGAACUUUCAUUCAUGAGCUCUCGAGAGGCCUCCGGGGAGGUGAGAAAAGAAGCAUGAAAUUGACCCUUGUGACUCAAAAUGGGCAGGGUUUUCAUGAGAAAGUGAUUGUAGCAGCAAUCUCAGAAGCUGACAGAAGGUGAUGGCUUAGCAGGGUCCUUACCUGGCUCCCUGAGGGGUGGGUCGGUUCCGUUUUGGGACCUUCUACAGGAUCUUUUUGGGGCCCUGCCUCUUAUCUCCAGUUGUUUCUGCAAUUCAAAUUCUGAUAUGACCUGCUGGAGAGAAAGUGAGAAUUAUCAGAAAGAGUAGCUUCCACUUUUAUAAUUCCUUUACCUAAUUAUAAAAGUAAAGCAUGCUCAUUGAAGAGAAUUUGGAAAAUAGGAAAAACAAACAAAAAGAAAUAAAAGGGGAGUUCCCGUCGUGGCGCAGUGGUUAACGAAUCCGACUGGGAACCAUGAGGUUGCAGGUUCGGUCCCUGCCCUUGCUCAGUGGGUUAACGAUCCGGCGUUGCCUAUUUGUCCAGAAUUCUUUCCUUUUCUUCUUUAAUGAGGUAUAACAUUUUAUAGUAAAAUAUACAGGUCUUAAGUUCAAUGAGUUUUGGCAUUUUUAUGGAUCUGUGUUAACCAUGGCCUGAAUCAAGAUAUAGAACAUUUCUAGGACGCCAGAAAGUUCCCCUGUGCCCUUUUCCAGUGAACCCUCUCCCAAAGAAUUAAUAUCUAGUUAUGAACUUUAUGUAAACAGAAUCGCAUAGUAUAUUUCUUUAUUUUAUUUCCUAGAACACAUAUUGUAAGCAUGCACUUUUCAAAGUGUCAAAAAUUAACAUCCCCAAAUAUUUGACAGUGGUGACCUCUGGCCAGGGGGAAUUUAAGUGAUUGUUACUUUCUUCUUUAUACAUUCUAGUCUAUCUAGUCUAGUAUAGAAAUAUACAUACAAUGUUAUGAUAAUGAGAACAAAUAAAGCUUUUUCAUAAGAUGGGGGCUUCUGCAGAGUGAACAAGCAAGGUUCAGAAUGAGUGUGGGGAUGGACCCCUGGCUGUCUGAAGGCUGAGAACACCCCCCCCCCUACCCCCGGCCAGCUUCUUGCUGGUGGUGUGGGACUUGCUUCAUCAUCUCAAGGUUAGAGACCCUUCAAGUCCUUUCCUAUCUAGAGUCUCAGUUAUCCCUUUGGAUAUGGAAUUAUUUGCUCAAAGAAUUCUUCUAAGCUCACAUUCUCCCCCUUAGAUCUUAGCAAAGAGAAAGCAUCUUCCAGACAAGUGCUAAAAACACUAUUAAAGUCAUAAAAACUAUACACACACCAUUUCAAACCCUCAAUCCCACAUUUGAGUGAUAGUGAUGCACGUAAAGCAAAUGGAAAUAGAGUCAAAUACGCAAAUGAUAAUAGAGCAAAGAUAAUAGAGCAAAAAUGGAUAAAAUCUGUACAUGAUGGUCUCUGGGUAACUUUUGAAUAGAGAUAAGGGGAGCUCCUUGUUUUGUUUCUUUAAGUCCUACAAUACAGAUUGGUAGGUACAUGGAGAAAGAAUGAGUGUAAGAGAGGUGUAAAUGAAGAGAAAGUUUUGAAUCCUGAAAUAACAUUUGCAGAAACACUUAAAACAAAGAGAAAACAACCUAGCAAUUUCACAACAGAAUGCAAGGCUCUGUUGGUUAAAUGGUCCCAUAUGUGGUAUCUGCAGAGCUGUGAGGCUUGGAAUGGGCUGGCCCAGGCCCGUGCCAGGGCUCUGUGCAAACUGGCUGGGCAGUGAUCAAUAGUUCCCCUGCACCGAGCCCGUUGCUGCCUCUCUAGAUGGGAGCAGUAAGGGCAGAAUCCCCCUGAAGGCUGGUGCGAGAGGUGACUACAGUGAGGUGUGAGCAAGCUCUCUGUAAACCAUGUAUAUCACCCACAUGCCAGCUGCUCAUUUUCUUCCAGACCUGGAAUAAAUGCUCCGGAGAGAUUGUGGGAUCCAGGCUCUGUAUCCUCUGGUCGUAGACUUUUGUGGGGACUCCAGGGCAAAGUGUUAACUCUUUUCUUACCCUGUGGGAUUUCUUUGCUGGGGAAAGGGGGGCAUUUUUGAUGGGAAAUAGGAGGUGUGUGUGGGGGGAAUGUUGAAGUCAAAUUAGCUUGCACUGGAUUCCAGACCUUUUCAUUUACUAGCUGUGUGUGUGGCCUUGGGUGAAUCCCUUCACAUCUGGAGCCCCAGUUUUCUCAUCUGGAAAGUGAGAAGAGAUGCACCUCAGUGGAUCACUUGGAGGAAUGGAUGUAAUGGAUCCUCAUAAAAGGUGCUUAGCACAGUAUCCUCAACAGGUGCCAGGAAUGGCAGAAAUGGUCUCUUUCAUGCAAGAUGCUCCACUGGCAAAUGAGCAAUAGAAAAGACCCUCUCUUGUUCCCAGUACACCUGAGCAGCUGCUCUUAAACCAGGAUAGUGGGAGCUCAGAGCAAGGGGCAGAAAUAUGGAACUCUGAUGCUUCCACAAUUACAAAAAGUUUUCCACCACCCUGGGCAGGGGCAAGAUGGAUCACCUGGAUGGCGAAAAUACUACAGAUGGGCCAGAUGUGAGCCCAUCUGGGGGAGACCCACAUCCACAUGGUUGGCACUGUGAUCCACCCUUCAUCUGGAAGCCUUGGCAUCCAGUGCUUGUUCAGACACCUCCCCUAGCAGCCAGGCGCUGAGACUGCAGCCCUUGGGGAAGGGGGAGGGGUCGGUUGUUUUAUUUUUAGCAAUGUGAGGAUGGUUUCUCACUUUCCGGUCCCUGGCUCAUCUUAGCACAUACCCCGAGCCCAGUCAGGGACAGAGCACAAGGCUUUAAACCACACGCCUCCGACGCUGGGGGGAUGGGACCAGAUCAGAGGAGAACGCCGCCCGCCCGCCGGGACUCUCUGAAUCCGGGGUUUUGUCUGAAGUGGGAAGCCCCGUCUCUGGGUCAGAUUUGAGCCACGUUGCAUCGUUUUGUUUUACAUGUUGUUCGCCAGGUAGCCAUUUGGAGGCUUCGCUUUUAAGAAAAAAACAACCCACCGCGUCCUGCAUCCUGGCGGUCUCUGACCCCUCUCGCCCUUUCCCUAAGUCUUCCUCGCCCCUCACCCGUUUCCUCCUCCUUGGCCCCCCAACUUCUCUUCCCCACUCCCAGGCCUCGGAAGUAGACUCUUCGUGUUCAUUCAUCAGGCUGUAAAGUUGGGGCAUUCCUCAUUUUCGAGGUUUAGUUGGCCGGCCGGCCGUACCUGACUUUUGUCUUUUUCUCUCCCUCCCUAAAGUGGGUCUCCGGUGCGGGGCGAUAACCUGCGGACCUCGGAGAUCCGGAUUUUGUUCCGCCCGGCCCUUGCCCUCCUGCAGGAGUUCCCGGCUGCCUGCUUUCCUCGGCUGGCUCUUAAUCAAUAUUAGAAGCGGACCGUAGUUGGGACCACCUGAUCUGCAAGCGGUCCAAGCCACGGAUAGUUUUUCCUAGCGCGGGGUCGGAGGACGGCUGCAGGCUGGAGCAGGAACGCCCUUGACCCCGGAGCACUGUGCGCUCCCGCAUCGGGCGCUGAGGCCGGAACCGUCAGCCCAGCGUCUGGAACCCAGAAGCUGGGGUGAAAGGCCUCCGCUGCUCUCCCAGACGCCUCAGCUGAGCAUAUGCUGCGCUUCCCAAAUUCAUUUUUAAUUCAUGACAUCAGGGUAGGGACCAUCGGAGCCUCUAAACAGCCUCUCUCAAAAACCAAAACAACCACCACAACGCAAUCGAGGAGAGGAGGCGGCCGCCGGGUCCAAAACCUUGUCUCCUCUGUCCCCAGGGAAUGAGCAUUUGGAAAACCACUUUCCAGAGAGGACCUGUUGUCCCUUAUGGCAGAGUUACCCGACUCCCCUCGUCCUGCCUUUCUGGAGCUGAAAUUGGAUCCCAGGGUAUUUGUUAUAAAGACAUAGCUGGUGUCAAAGUGGUUUCGAUUAGAAUUUUUCUUUUAAAUAACAUAACAUUAAAACGAACAAAUAUAUACUUGCAGGGAGAUUAGACUCCUCCAAAUACUUUUACACACAUACACAAAACAAAUACAUUUAAAUGUGCACAUAUAUCAGACCUAUCUCCACAUACGAUAUAAUACAUAAAAAGAUGUUAAAUAACUAAUAGAAUAUUGGAAAUAGAAGUUAAAUAUAUACUAAAUAGUACCUAAUAUGAUGAAACAAUAUAAUUAAUAUUCUAUGUUAAAUUAUAUAUAAUACAAAUGGACCAUAUAUAUUAUAGAUCACAUAUGUUAAAAGGAAACGUCCUCUUGUGAAAUAUCCAGGGCGCUAGAGCUUGGGAUCGCUUAGCCCCAGCGCAGCGUAGACAGCCUAAGCGGAAGGAGGGAGGCGCACAACGGUGGCCCAGAUUCGUCCCUUGCCCCAUCCUAGCUCCUCACAUGCCUGAGUGUCUUGGAAAUAAAUGCAAAGAUUCUAAAUUGGAGUAAUAGAGUUAAGGGAGCUCCUCGUACAGAGGUCAGACUCCAUUAAGGGGGAGACACAAAUUUCGGAAAGGAGACGGGGAGCGCAUCCAUUCCCACCGUUCACUGCAAGCCCUGAACCUUCGGCGUUUGGUCCCGCGAGUGUAAACCUAGGUGUCUUUCUCAGACACCUAAGACAGCUUUAAGUGUCAUUUUUCCAAUGCGGCCCUUUAGAGGCAAUUUGGAAAUUGAAAUGAAUCUUCAUAUGCAAGAUUUGGACGUUCCGGAGGCCCUUUAAAGUUUUGGUUAGAAAGGCGGUUAGAAACCUUCGGAUGGGCUAUAAGGCGGCGAUUCAGGGCAGAGGAAAAAGCAUAGACAGAAAUUCGAUAUUAACCGCGCCCUCGCAGGUAAUGCAGCCUAAAGAUAAUCGCUGCGCAUGUUUACUUUUCUGCUACCGCGGAAUAGAAACACUUCGACAGCAAAGUUAUCCUAAGGAAUCACAUGGCUUAAAAAGGGGAAAAUAUCUCGACUGCCCAAGUGGGCUUACUGGCGUACUAGAACAACGUGCAUAGAAACUCGUUUUUCCGCAGAAUUAGCCAGAAGCGGAACCUCAAAAUCAAUUGUCUGGAAGAUGGGGGAGGGGUGUUUUAAACGAGGGCAGGUUUCGAUGAGAACGCCCAGUGCCGCUUCUGAGAGCUACCCAAGACCCUCUCCCCACCCUGGGUUCCCGGAUCGGAGGCCCCAGCGCACGCCGCGGGGAGCGCCUGGCUGCCGGGCCCUGCGCGGCCCAGGGGCGCGCUGCCGCGCCAGCAGCUUUUAUUUGCAGUCUCUUUAACUCUCCGUUUCUGGUUUUCUUUCCUUCGAGCGCCCUGCCGCGGAGUGUUAGACAAGCCCUGGCGUCUGUGGGCUCUCACCUCAGAGUCAAUAUUAUCUCAGAUGGGCACAAUAGACUGGAAUGAAAAGCUAAUAUUGAACCAAUGAGGUCCCUGCCCGCGCCGCCGCGAUGCCACCCUUUGUUGCGCAGCUCAGGGCGAGCCGCUGGCGGCCGGGCUAAGCGGAGGGCGACUGCAGUCACGCCUCUCCUCCAGCCGCCGGGGGCUCCACGGGGUCGCGGGGGAAGCGGGGCACAUGGGGUGUACCUACGCCCAGGAUCGGCUGUACUCUCCACCCACGUGGAGAGGACGCAAAUAGGGGAGCGGGUCUGGUGUGUCCAACCUCUGGGUGCUUGUGUGUGUGUGUGUGUGUGUGUGUGUGUGUGUGUGUGUGUAGGGUAGUUCUGCUGCGGCCCCAAACUAGAAGGCUCCUUUCCGAUCGUCCUAGAGGAAGUAACCGAUAAUUACGGAUCGCCAGGGCCGAGAAUCGGGCGAGGGGGCUCUACUCAGGAGGAGGGGGCGGUCAGACCCUCU